AGGCAUGAGGAACCACAACAGACCAUCAUGCCAUGAACUCCAUCUACAGCCUUUCUUUAGCUCAAAUCACGGCGCUCGCAACGCAAAGGUCACAGGUUCGAUCCCCAGAGAAAAAUGAACUUGGGAAGAAACAGAUUUUCUCUCACUGAGUUUCCAAACAGAGAAGUGCCAGAAGAGGCCGAAAACACUUGGUCUGCAGUUUCUCACACUGAUGUUCUGCAGGAAAACGGCAAAAACAGCGGCUUCAUUAUCAGAUGGUGAGGCGCGUCUGUAACGGAGACUCAUCACUCAUGGUCUGAAAGCGUGUGUGAGACGCCUGUGAGAAACACAAGAGAAGAUGACAGCCAGUCAGACGGACAGACGCUUGUCCAUCAUCAGGACCCCAGAGCGCUGACUCAGCAGCAUCAGCAGAUUCACUGCAGAACAACGGUCCGUCUGGAUCAGAACACACAC